GUGCUUGCCUAGGCAACACAUAUACUAAAAUUGGAACAGUACAAAGAAGAUUAGCAUGGACCCGCAUGAGGAUGACAUGCAAAUUUGUGAAAUCUUCCAUAGUUUA
ensembl:snRNA U6 U6 spliceosomal RNA